rnacentral:rRNA from 1 species
GUUGGCGGCGUGGAUUAGGCAUGCAAGUCGAGGGAGAACCCGCAAGGGGGACACCGGCGAACGGGGUAGGAUCACGUAGGUGACGUACCCCCAGGGCGAGGAUAGCCACGGGAAACUGUGGGUAAUACUCGAUAACCUUCCCGAUCAUGAUCGAAUGGGAAGCAAUGGGUGUGAUUCCACCUGGGGAGCGGCUUACGCAGUAUCAGCUAGUUGGUGAGGUAACGGCUCACCAAGGCUUUGACGCUUAGGGGGUGUGAGAGCAUGGCCCCCACCACUGGCACUGAGACACUGGCCAGACACCUACGGGUGGCUGCAGUCGAGAAUCUUCGGCAAUGGACGAAAGUCUGACCGAGCGACGCCGCGUGCGGGAUGAAGGUCUUCGGAUUGUAAACCGCUGUCAGAGGGGAUGAAGUAUACGAGAGCUAUCUCUUGUAUUUGACAGA